rnacentral:lncRNA from 1 species
AUGGGAUCUGAGCUCGUGUCAAAGGCUGCACCUGCUUUGCGCCCCUACCAGGAAGGGGUGCCGGUGUGGGAGGGGAGGAGGGAGGUUCUGCGCCCCCGAAUCCGGAGAAAGCAGCCCGCCCGCCCCCUCACCCGACAGCCAGCGCAGCGCCCCCGAGAAAGGCCGGUCUCUGACGGUGCUGGCCUGGUGCUUGCCAAAAAGUGCCCCUUGCAUCUCAAUUUCCCCGGCCGUUCCUCGCGCACGCACAGCUCGCCCGGGGCCACCUCCGCUCUCCGGCGCAGCCCCGUGGCGCUUGUUCCUUCCUUCCCCGCUCCCCGCCUGCCCAGGGCCGAACGCAAAACCCGCCGCCAAGAAGGCGCAGGGGCGCGGGGGCACCCACCCGGCCGCGCCCCGCAGUCCCCUCCCAGCCGAACCCGGCUCCCGGACUCUCGAGCACGGAAACGAGUGUCACGUAGACGGAGGACCGCGCGUCCGCGGCCCCGGCCCCCGGCUCUCGGUGCCUCUCUGGGGUUCCUCUGCGCUCCCGGAUCCCCUAUCGCCGUCAGCGAGCCUGUGUCCCCCACCCAGCCUCGGGAGCGCUCCCCGGUCACCUCCGCGGCGUUCAUUUCACUUCCUCUCAUGGUCCAAACUGCAGCAAAACCGGGCAGCGCGAGGGCCAAAAAGUGGAAGGGAGAGCGCCUCUCCGCGUCGCGCAGCCGGCUCGCCAACUCCCCCUCCCCAGCCCAGACCCCCGCAAUCCCAACUGCAACUUUUUCCCUUCCGUCUCGGUUUCCCCGGGCUGCGGAGAGCGGACGCCGGGCCGCGAGGCGUGGAGCGGGGCGGGCGGGCGGCCGCGCGGCUGCGGGUGGCGGUGCGGGCGAGAGCCGCGAGCCGGCGAGUGGGUGGGUGGGUGGGGAGGGAGGAGGGGAGAGGCCGGGCGGGGAGAGAGAGGGGUGUGGGGAGAAGGAGGGGGAGAGGGAGGGAGGGGGGAGAUUCCGCUCUCCUGCCGCUCCCAGCCGGGGCGGGGGGCAGGGGGAGGAGGCUGCGAGGAGGGAGGGGAGGGAGGGGAGAGAGGGAGGGAGCCGAGGAAGACGCUCCGAUAACCCGUGCGUUUCGUAA